UAGCUCGGUAGCUCAAUUGGUAGAGCAGCGGUCUCCAAAGCCGCAGGUUCCCCGUUCGAGUCGGGGCCGGGUUGCAAA
rnacentral:tRNA from 1 species